GAUGAACGCUGGCGGCGUGCUUAACACAUGCAAGUCGAACGGAAAGGCUCCUGCUUGCAGGGGUACUCGAGUGGCGAACGGGUGAGUAACACGUGGGUGAUCUGCCCUGCACUUCGGGAUAAGCCUGGGAAACUGGGUCUAAUACCGGAUAGGACGAUGGUUUGGAUGCCAUUGUGGAAAGAUGUUCGGUGUGGGAUGAGCUCGCGGCCUAUCAGCUUGUUGGUGGGGUAAUGGCCUACCAAGGCGUCGACGGGUAGCCGGCCUGGGAGGGUGUACGGCCACAUUGGGACUGAGAUACGGCCCAGACUCCUACGGGAGGCAGCAGUGGGGAGUAUUGCACAGUGGGCGCAAGCCUGAUGCAGCGACGCCGCGUGGGGGAUGACGGCCUUCGGGUUGUAAACUCCUUUCGCUAGGGACGAAGCGCAAGUGACGGUACCUGGAGAAGAAGCACCGGCUAACUACGUG
rnacentral:rRNA from 1 species